rnacentral:antisense_RNA from 1 species
CUCAACGGGCGGGCCUUGGCAGGGAGGCCUUCGGGUCUGCCGGUUUUGGUUUCGACGCCGGUCCGCUAACCCUGUCAUGUGCCCGCUCACCCUU